UACGGGGGGGGCAAGCGUUGUUCGGAAUUACUGGGCGUAAAGGGCUCGUAGGUGGCCAACUAAGUCAGACGUGAAAUCCCUCAGCUUAACUGGGGAACUGCGUCUGAUACUGGAUGGCUUGAGUUUGGGAGAGGGACGCGGAAUUCCAGGUGUAGCGGUGAAAUGCGUAGAUAUCUGGAGGAAUACCGGUGGCGAAGGCGGCAUCCUGGACCGACAUUGACGCUGAGGAGCGAAAGCUAGGGGAGCGAACGGG
rnacentral:rRNA from 1 species